GACGAACGCUGGCGGCGUGCCUAAUACAUGCAAGUUGAGCGCUGAAGGUUGGUACUUGUACCAACUGGAUGAGCAGCGAACGGGUGAGUAACGCGUGGGGAAUCUGCCUUUGAGCGGGGGACAACAUUUGGAAACGAAUGCUAAUACCGCAUAAAAACUUUAAACACAAGUUUUAAGUUUGAAAGAUGCAAUUGCAUCACUCAAAGAUGAUCCCGCGUUGUAUUAGCUAGUUGGUGAGGUAAAGGGUCACCAAGGCGAUGACACAUAGCCGACCUCAGAGGGAGAACGGCCCCAUUGAGUCAGAGACACGACUCAGACACUUGCAAGAGACAGCACAGGGGAAUCUUCGGCAAUGGGCGAAAGUCUGACAGAGCAACGCAGCGUGUGUGAAGAAGAUUUUCGGAUCGUAAAACUCUGUUGGGAGAGGAGAGCGUUGGUGUGAGUGGAAAGCUCAUCAAGUGACGGAAACUACCCAGAAAGGGACGGCUAACUACGUG
rnacentral:rRNA from 1 species